AGACCGAUAGCAAACAAGUACCGUGAGGGAAGAUUGAAAAGAACUUUGAAGAGAGAGUUCAAUAGUACGUGAAACUGUGUGGUGGUAAACGGAGGGGUUCUCGAAGUUUCUGAGGGGAACUCAACCUUGGUGUUGGGCGGCCUGGGCGUAUCCGAUCAGCAAUGACUGUGCGCUCUGUCCGGCUCGGCUCUCGGGUGCAUUUCCCCCUCAGUUUACGACAGGAACCGUUUGGUGCGGACCGAAGGCCUCGGGUGAAGUUGUCGCUUAUGGUGGCAGCCCUGUGUGUCCUGGCUCUGCGCCCGACGGGUAUGUGAGAGGACUCGUAUAGCGAGCAAUGCUCUGUUGCGGUUCUCAUCUCUCUGUCGAGUAGGUCGGCGGCCCCUCCGACCCGUCUUGAAACACGGAC
rnacentral:rRNA from 1 species